rnacentral:rRNA from 1 species
GAUGAACGCUGGCGGCGUGCCUAAUACAUGCAAGUCGAGCGAACGGACGAGAAGCUUGCUUCUCUGAUGUUAGCGGCGGACGGGUGAGUAACACGUGGAUAACCUACCUAUAAGACUGGGAUAACUUCGGGAAACCGUAGCUAAUACCGGAUAAUAUUUUGAACCGCAUGGUUCAAAAGUGAAAGACGGUUUUGCUGUCACUUAUAGAUGGAUCCGGGCUGCAUUAGCUAGUUGGUAAGGUAACGGCUAACCAAGGCAACGAUGCAUAGCCGACCUGAGAGGGUGAUCGGCCACACUGGAACUGAGACACGGUCCAGACUCCUACGGGAGGCAGCAGUAGGGAAUCUUCCGCAAUGGGCGAAAGCCUGACGGAGCAACGCCGCGUGAGUGAUGAAGGUCUUCGGAUCGCAAAACUCUGUUAUUAGGGAAGAACAUAUGUGUAAGUAACUGUGCACAUCUUGACGGUACCUAAUCAGAAAGCCACGGCUAACUACGUG